rnacentral:rRNA from 1 species
CAAAGGAGCAAUCCGCUGAAAGAUGGGCUCGCGUCCGAUUAGGUAGUUGGCGGGGCAACGGCCCACCAAGCCGACGAUCGGUAGCCGGACUGAGAGGUUGAACGGCCACAUUGGGACUGAGACACGGCCCAGACUCCUACGGGAGGCAGCAGUGAGGGAUAUUGGUCAAUGGGGGAAACCCUGAACCAGCAACGCCGCGUGAGGGAAGACGGUUUUCGGAUUGUAAACCUCUGUCCUCUGUGAAGAUGAUGACGGUAGCAGAGGAGGAAGCUCCGGCUAACUACGUGCCAGCAGCCGCGGUAAUACGUAGGGAGCAAGCGUUGUCCGGAUUUACUGGGUGUAAAGGGUGCGUAGGCGGCUUUGCAAGUCAGAAGUGAAAUCCAUGGGCUUAACCCAUGAACUGCUUUUGAAACUGCAGAGCUUGAGUGGAGUAGAGGUAGGCGGAAUUCCCGGUGUAGCGGUGAAAUGCGUAGAGAUCGGGAGGAGCACCAGUGGCGAAGGCGGCCUGCUGGGCUCUAACUGACGCUGAGGCACGAAAGCGUGGGUAGCAAACAGGAUUAGAUACCCUGGUAGUCCACGCUGUAAACGAUGAUUACUAGGUGUGGGUGGACUGACCCCAUCC